CUUUUUUCAACGCAAAUGGUCUUCAAACCUAGUUGUGCACCACGAAUGGCAGCAACAUAACCGCCAGGACCACCGCCUAUAACGCAAAGAUCGUAUUCUCCGUUUCCAGAGGCUUUUGCAGAGUACAAUCGCUUAGAAAUUUCAAUUUGUGCCGGUCUGCAUUCACUAACCUGCAAACACGUGAAUUUGAACCGGCAAAGUGCCGAUCUUUUAAUCACAGAGUUCAACAUAAUCUUUAAUCAAACCCAGCAAUAACAAAAUAUGAAAAACAACACGCUUUUUAUCUUGUUCUAAUGGUUCUUGGAGGAUAUCAUAAUCUCAUCAAAGGAGCAAAUAAGGUAAGGUUAAAAUCCAACAACAAUAUACAUAGAAAAACAUUGUUAAUAUUAAAAAUUAUCUAUUGUUAUGAUAGAAAAUUAUUUUUCUCUCGGUAUCUGUAUUUUUAAGCUAUUGAGCAAAGUUGAUAUUGGCCCUCCGUACAAAUCAGGGUUUGCUUCGAUGCCUUCAAUUAUAUUUUUCAUGAGGUUCAAAUCAAUAUCUUUAUCAUCAAUACCUUCUAAACCCUCAUCUCUGCCCCUUAAUCCACCAUACAGCUCUUCAUCCAUGGCACGCAUGUAUUCUUCCAUAUUAGCAUCGCCUGGGAUGUCCAUUUCAUCUUCAUUCCCUGAAGAGAAUUCGUCAACAUCUUGGUUUUGAUAUUUCCCAUCUUUUCCUUUUAAAAGGUCGUAAAAUUUGGUUUCGUCAAACUCGACCUCGUCGAUUCCUUGAUUUCUGUUUAAAAAGAUCUCAUCAUCGGAAUCCGCCAAAGAAUCAGAAUCUGUAUCUGUAUCAGAAUUUUUUACUCCAUAAAAGUCCUCUCUAUGAUUAUUGGAGGCUUCAUCAUUAAUAAACGUCUCAAUUCUUGAAGCCAUAUUUUUCAAAUCCGAUUCAUUAAAAUUUUGCUUUUGUUUAUUUUUGGUAAUUUCUUCAUUAAUACUUUUUCCGCCAUGAUUCCCUGGUACCAUUUCUUCUUCGCCUACGAGCGUAUUAUCGUGAUCGGUGUUGUCAAAACCAGACCUUUCAUCAUCUCCAAAAUCAUCACAAAAAGAAUUUAACUUUUUUUCCAACAGCUCUUCUAGUUCAUCAGGAUUUACGUUCAUAAAACUAGUGUCAUCCUCAAUGAGAGGUAUUUUUUUUAUGUCUUCAUCAGUAGGGAGAGGCUGAAUUUGAAGGUAUUCAUCAAUUUCAGUCCUUUUUUCCACGUUUUCUUUAGAGUUGUAAAGGAUUUCAAAUCCACAUGAAAGCUUCAUUCCUAGAAUAGCACGUUCAUAAUCCAAUGAGUGAACAUCAGAGGGUAAGUGAAAUGGACGAAAAGUUUUACAUCUUUGCUGAUAUAGUUGAGCGUACAAGAGAGGGGUAAAAGUUAUAGUCGUGGUAACAAGAUCGUUUUGGUUAAACUUACUCAUUCGGUCGCAAUAAUUUUCAUCGAUUGGGUCUCUGUAGUAAAAUGCAUUAACAGCACUACUUAUCAAGUUUUUAUUUUUUUGUAGUACGUGUACAAUUUUUCUCGGUACUGUGCAGAUGGCCCUAAGCUUUACAUUAGCUGCUUUUGGAAACUUCUUAAGACGUUGACUUAUGGAGUCAUUGACCUCGCGACUAGUAUAUAAGUUACUGCCCGAAGAAAUUUGAAAGAUUGCUUGCUCUCUUGUUAGAGGAGGACAUCUGUUCAUUUUUUUUAAAAACUCAUCUUCAGGUCGAAGAAUUAUAACCUCGCCAUUGUGAAUCCAAACUCGAUAAUCGGAGUUGUCUUCAUCAAUCCAUUUUGGAAGAGAUAGUGCUGCUUCUAUCAACAAAAAUUCUCCGUCCUCAUCUAUAAUUCUGACAAAUGCUGACUUUACAGCCUUACUUGCCUCUCUUAAUAACCAAACGAUGUACCAUUCAUCAUCAAUACAGUCCCCAAAAUUCGUUAUUCCUAAAAUACAAUCCUUCCCUUGAUAUUCGACUCUUUGUAAAUUUAGCUCUUCGUUUUGCCAUAUAUGUUCUUUCCCAUAUUCUAACUGGAGUCUCUCUAAUUCAGCUAAAAACAUAUUUAUAGAGGCUUCUGUGCUCUCUUUUUCUUUCUCUGAAAAAUAAACAUCAAUCCUGCAUUCAUUUUGUGAAAUACAAUCGCUUUCUAUCCUUUCGGUGAUGUUAUUGCCUAGAUUGCUCAUUUUCCAAGUGUUCUAUUGUAUUAAAAACAGUGAUUGUCCAUCUAUUUGUUUAACAAUGGCUUUUCUCUUCUUCCAGUAAGAUUUAUAAAAAGCAAUAAAUCCUAAGGUACGUGUUCAAUAGGGAUUUAUUGCUGUAGAUCGUCUACAUAUUAACUAGAUGGCAUUUUACACUGAUGAUACUCUAAUUCUCAUACUACUUUCGUAGCGAUUCGCUAUUUUAAAUUUAAUAAUGAUUCGCAUCGAGAUCUCAUUAAAUGUGUUGAUUGUAUAAGUAAAUACUAUCUACUGCUGGG
rnacentral:lncRNA from 1 species